GAUGAACGCUAGCGGCAGGCUUAACACAUGCAAGUCGAGGGGUAUAGGUUUUCGGACCUAGAGACCGGCGCACGGGUGCGUAACGCGUAUGCAAUCUACCUUUUACAGAGGGAUAGCCCAGAGAAAUUUGGAUUAAUACCUCAUAGUAUAAUGAUUCGGCAUCGAGACAUUAUUAAAGUUCCAACGGUAAAAGAUGAGCAUGCGUCCCAUUAGCUAGAUGGUAAGGUAACGGCUUACCAUGGCGACGAUGGGUAGGGGUCCUGAGAGGGAGAUCCCCCACACUGGUACUGAGACACGGACCAGACUCCUACGGGAGGCAGCAGUGAGGAAUAUUGGUCAAUGGGCGCAAGCAUGAACCAGCCAUGCCGCGUGCAGGAUGACGGUCCUAUGGAUUGUAAACUGCUUUUGUACAGGAAGAAACAGUUCUACGUGUAGAACCUUGACGGUACUGUAAGAAUAAGGAUCGGCUAACUCCGUGCCAGCCGCCGCCGUAACAC
rnacentral:rRNA from 1 species